UGAGUUAUACUGUGUAAUAGGGUAAAAAUGGUACAGGAUUGCUUUAAUCUUCCUUACCCUCAAUUUCUUCUUAGGUUAAAUGAGAUCUUUGGUCUGUAUCUCACCACUGUUGUGAGGAUCAAACGAAAGAGCAGCAAUAAAGUACACGAUAAAGCUUAAGGUUCUGCAAAAGAGAAUGCUAGUGGGACCCUAGUGGGAUGCAGUGGGACCCAACCCACAUCAGGCAGCACACAACUUCCUAUAACUUCAGUUCCUGGUGACCCAGAACCCUCUUCUGCCUCCAUGACCUGCACAUGUUUACAUACCAUCUUCCUCUCUGCACACAUAUAGUGACAGCUUGACCCUCCAGAUGUGAAGGAAGCAAGAGAUGGACAGCAUCACAUCCACCCACGAUUGCU